UACGUAGGGGGCAAGCGUUGUUCGGAGUUACUGGGCGUAAAGGGCGCGUAGGCGGCGAUCCAAGUUAGGCGUGAAAGCCCCGGGCUUAACCUGGGAAUUGCGCUUAAGACUGGACUGCUUGAGUGCGGGAGAGGUGAGUGGAAUUCCCAGUGUAGAGGUGAAAUUCGUAGAUAUUGGGAAGAACACCAGUGGCGAAGGCGGCUCACUGGCCCGCAACUGACGCUGAGGCGCGAAAGCGUGGGGAGCAAACAGG
rnacentral:rRNA from 1 species